GGUUAUGCGGGCGAGGUGGUUCCGGCGCUGGCGGCGCUGCCGCCGCCGCUGACCGCGCCGCCCAUCGUGACCGGCGGCGGUUCGGACCCGACGCAAUACCU
rnacentral:tRNA from 1 species